UUAAGUUCAGCGGGUAGUCCUACCUGAUCUGAGGUCUAAAUCGCUCGAGUAAUACAAUUACAAUUCAACUACUCCGAUCAGCGUCCCGAGUGAGGCGACUCUACAACACCCGGUCAAACCGCUGAUGGUCGCUAGCCUACUACAUUUAAGACCGGCAGGGCGAACCCCGCCAAGUCCAGGUUCCAAUCCGCUGAGCAACG
rnacentral:misc_RNA from 1 species